rnacentral:rRNA from 1 species
UACAGAGGUCUCAAGCGUUGUUCGGAUUCAUUGGGCGUAAAGGGUGCGUAGGCGGCGCGGUAAGUCGGGUGUGAAAUCUCGGAGCUUAACUCCGAAACUGCAUUCGAUACUGCCGUGCUUGAGGACUGGAGAGGAGACUGGAAUUUACGGUGUAGCGGUGAAAUGCGUAGAUAUCGUAAGGAAGACCAGUGGCGAAGGCGGGUUGCUGGGCUGACACUGACGCUGAUGCGCGAAAGCUAGGGGAGCGAACGGG